rnacentral:tRNA from 1 species
AUGCUAAAUGAAAUAGGGGAAGUGGCUUCUUUCAGGAUUAACGAUAAGAAAGAUAGUAGGGUGGCCAGUGUAGAAUUCAAAGAUCCGCAAGUAUUGGCAGUUGCUCUUGAAACUGUAAAUAACAAGGAGGUGAACGGCUCCCAGCUUGAAUGUGAAACAUUUGAGAUUCGUGUUAAGGCAGGGACGAAAGGUGCAGCUCCUAGUUCUGUGCCAGCUCAACCUGCGACCCAUACUAGACCACCUAAACCUGAACCAAAGACUAGAGAGGAAUUGGACCAAGAAAUGGACGAGUAUAUGUCACAGCCAUGA